rnacentral:rRNA from 1 species
UACGAGGGGGGCGAGCGUUGUUCGGAAUUAUUGGGCGUAAAGGGUGCGUAGGCGGUUUGGUAAGUCUUAUGUGAAAUCUACAGGCCCAACUUGUAGUCUGCAUGAGAAACUGCCGGGCUUGAGUAUGGGAGAGGUGAGUGGAAUUCCUGGUGUAGCGGUGAAAUGCGUAGAUAUCGGAAGGAACACCUGUGGCGAAAGCGGCUCACUGGACCAUAACUGACGCUGAGGCGCGAAAGCUAGGGGAGCAAACAGG